AUAGCAGCCAUUAUCUUCUUUCUGGGUGUCUUAUCAAGUUCCGGCUGUGUGCAGCAUGGGCGAUAAGGAAUGAGGAAUGUCACCCAUGGGAUUGCCAAGGAUUAUUUCUAUGCACUGCUGGUCAGCAACGGCCAGGCCCUCAGAACUGAAAAGGAGCCCUAUUGUUCAUUCGGGCAGUUGCUAUUCUGAGGACACCAAGAGAGCAGAAAGAGGAUGUAUUUGCCAUUGUGUGUAAGAUUGAAAUUUCAUGACUCUCAGCUAAAGUUCAAGCAGUCUUGAUUUUGAAAAGCAUAGUCAUUGUGGAAUAUCUUUGAAGAGGGAGAAGACAAGGGAAGGAAAGAAGAAUGAAAUGAGUUCAGAGCUCUUCAGAACUAUGAGAGAGUAUAAAGAAAGAAGAGAGGUGUAACACUGUCAAACACUGGAACUUAAAAUGCUAGGCAUACUGGGCCUCAGAGGAAUUGAGCAGUAUCCCAUAACCAUGACUUGUGCUCUAGUUGCUUAAUGUAAAGACUCCAGGCUUCAUUACUCAUCAGAAAAUAGCCAAUUUGCUGGAUUUCUGUUUCAUUGUCUCUGUUUCAUCCCAAAUUCUUGAACACAAUCAAUCUGUUGAUAUUAAUUUUUUUUCCUUUUCUCUUCAAUGAAGAAAUGAAUAUUUUAUUAGAGAUAUGCUGGCUUUGAAUGUUAGAGAAAAAAAAAUAGGAUCUCUUUGAAUUUUUAUUUCAGUAUUAGAGCUUCCCAACCUUUUAUCUUCUUAGAGAAAAGACUGCAUUAGAAGAAUAUGAAAACUCAAAUGUACAAAUAACCCACAGUAUGUUCAUAUAGAAUUCCCCCAAAGGGUUCUGAGUGCUUCAGCCUUCUUCAUACACAGUUUUAGGGUCAUGCUGACAGUAUAAUGUAAGCCGCUUGGAAGUGGGCCAAAUCAAAUUUUUCCAACAUUUUAAAAUCACUCUUCUGAAAUUGGAAUUUAUAUUUAUAUUUAUAUCAAUAGCUUCAGGAAAAAAGAACCCAGUCACGGAAUCAUUAAGAUGAGGCAUAGAAGAAAGGGCAAAGGAAAGGGCAAAGAGAGGGCACGAAGAAGUCAGGAGGACUUGGGAGGAGAGAAGGGGCUUUUACUCCCCUGUGGAGAGCCUGAUUCCAGC
rnacentral:lncRNA from 1 species